ensembl:lncRNA
UGGGAUUUACAUAUGUGCACUGAGAAUAUCUAAUAAUAAUCGCUUUGUAAAUAAGGAUGCAUUACGAAAGAAAUUAAAUGCGCAAGAGACUGUGGUAAUAUUUUCCCUUUGAUACUAUAAUACUGUACAUGGCGUCCAGGUCAUUUUCAUUUCUCUUAGAAUAAAAACCUUAGUAUAACAGUUUUAGUAAAUAAUAUGCUACAGUCCAGUUACAGCUUGUUCUGAUCAAGUAAAAAUAAAAAAAUAAGUAUUUAUUUGGGUGUGUGUGCAGGACAGAGAAAUAGCAAUUCUUACACUAUUGUUCAGGAUGAAUGGAAAAUUGUGUCAAUUCAUAAACCAUGUGCCAUCAAAAAUCUCUUCAACUAUUUUGAAAUCUACAUGGCUCGCCGCCAAUAAUUACAUUUAGAGUAUUGGAGGAUUCUAAAUUAAUAUGCAAGGGGCAUUUUUUGUUAGAGCAAAUCUGGAAAAUGACAUGCGCAAGAGAUUGUGGUAAUAUUUUUCCUCUUAGAGAAUAUUAAACAGACAUUCAAUGACAUCAGCAAGAGAUAUGCUGGACCCAAUGUCAGAGAGGUGUUUUUGGGACCACAUCGUGUCAAUUGUCCUGCUAAUAGCGCUUGUGAAAAACAAGUGUUUGAAAACAUUAACGAUAUUUCAGAGCUUAUUUUGUUUUCAAAUAACAGAAAGUUACUGGCUGUACUAGAGAAUUGAAAACCUAUUUUAAAUUCCUACAUAUAGUAUACGAGAUUGAUUUUAAGAAAUGUAGCUUAAUUAAUUUGAUUAAUGUGCCAAGAAAAACGAAACCCUCAGGAAAAUAUACAUGACCUUUAUUUAACUAGGCAAGUCAGUUAAGAACAAAUUCGUAUUUACAAUGACAGCCUACACCGGCCUAUGGGAUUCCCAAUCACGGCCAGUUGUGAUACAGCUAACCUAACUAAGAAAUGCAUUUGACGAUACAAUUCUCCCCCUACCCUCCUUCAUGGCAAGAAUAUAUUGUCCUGCUAAUAGCCCAUAAUGGCGCUGUACAAUGUGACCGGUUUGGAGUAGGCUACACUACUACAGUAAGAACAAAAUAAUCCUAACAUUUUGUCACAAGAAUUUUCAAUCCCAAUGAUGAUUGCAAUCACUAUAGCUUUGACCAAUUCCCCCUAGGUUGUAAAGCUAGGGUUAAUAAGAAUUAGGCAAAGUCUCAGAUUCUGCAAAAGGUUCGUUGUGGUUUAUUCAUGAGAGCUCUAAAAACCAUAUAAUGCACAUAGCCUUUUAUAUAACUCCUACAAGCACCUACAAGUCUACAAGCACAUCUGUUCCUCCCUGGAUGGAGGAACUUUAUCUCCUGUCCUUGGUCUCACAGGACCAAAACAUGUCUGUUGUCAGUUCCUCUUUAUCACACACAAACACAAUGUUUCCACUGUCUCACAAUAUUCUAGUAUUAUAUCUAAACACAUUGUCUAAGCUUCUGUAACUAUUAGGGUGAAGUACUUUAGUCAUUACUCUUAAUGUCAUUCAGAUUAUUUUAUUAUUACUUUAAACACAUACAUUCCCUUAUCACAUUUCCACACCCUAAUUGUAGUCGAACAAACAUCCACACGGAGAUUCAGGGAAAAUAAAAAUCUCAAUGAUUUAUCAAGACCAGUCCCAUGCUUGUCUCGACCUGCCGUUUCCCCUCACCUCUACCAUUAAUUUGGAAAAUAUUGAAAAUAUUGAAAUUUUCCAGUAAGCAACAAUGUUUACAUACAUUAGCCUACUUUAUUUCAAUAUUUCUGUCAUUCAGUGAUAUUUCUUCAUUAUGGAUCCAUAUGGAAAAUGACAUGUGCAAGAGGUGGUGGUAAUAUUUUUCCUUUUAGAGACUAUAAUAUGACAUCCAGGUCAGGAUAACCAAAACAUUUCUUUAUUAAAAGACUAUCAGAAAGAAUGUUGGUACUUAUUUAUUUUGAUUCAAAGCCAUGAGUGAGUCACUCAACUUGAAGUAGGUGCCGAGGCUAUAUGACUGCGGCAUCAACUUGAUGUAGGUGCAGAGGCUAUAUGACUGCGGCAUCAACUUGAUAUAGGUGCCGAGGCUAUAUGACUGCGGCAUCAACUUGAUGUAGGUGCCGAGGCUAUAUGACUGAGUCACUCAGCUUGAUGUAGGUGCCGAGGCUAUAUGACUGCGGCAUCAACUUGAUGUAGGUGCCGAGGCUAUAUGACUGAGUCACUCAGCUUGAUGUAGGUGCCGAGGCUAUAUGACUGCGGCAUCAACUUGAUUAUAUUCAGUCAACACAUAUCUUAAGAAUAUCAUGGAAUUUUCAUUUCUCUUAGAAUAAAAACAGGAUAACAACAGUUUUACUAAAUAAUACUGACAAGUAGAAACAACAAAAGUGUGUAUUUUUCCAGGUGUGCGCGUGCAGAACAUAAGAAUAGCAAUUCUUACACUAUUGUUUUAAAUUCAAUCACCUUCUUCAUCCUCAUCAUUCAGUUAAUUGAAAUUCAAUUUUGAAGUAGUGCACAAUUAUCAGUUUCUACUUGGUUUAGAACGCCCAUUCAUUGUCAGUUAGAGCCACAGUAGAGCCUUGGGACCCAAAAUCAUAAAUCAGUGCUCUAACUCCCCCUUGCACUGGUCUGGAGAAAUGAAGCAGUGAUGCAGGGUACUGUACUAAACCACAAAUGACCUCCAGCAGUAUAAUCACAACACUUUUCAUUGAGCAACCACUAUGUGCACAGUAGCAAAGUUAACCAGCAUGUUGGUGUUGAGAACAACGUGGCGGAGGCAAGAAUACAGCUCUUGCCUUAAUUCUCUAUAAUAGUCUAUAAAUUCUCUAUAAUAGUAUAUAAAAAGUGAGUAGAGAGGAGACCAACUUAAUUAGGUCUAUAAUCAAUAGCCUAACUGUUAAAUGUGCUUGGCUUUAUAAAUCAUCCAUAUUCAUCGACAGAUCCUGCUUCUUUUUGAGUGUUUGUUUAAUAGCCUACUGAUUCCGUGAGCACUAAGCAUCACACAACAUGUCAGAUUAAACCAUUUUACAAAAUGGUCUGUUUUUAGUCUUUGCUAUGCUGCUAUAAAGGCUUCAGACUUUUUUCAUUAAAACAGCUGCUGGUAUUAUUUAAUGUAGUUUACUCUGUUCCAAAUUUUCAGAAAAACAAUAUUCAUAAUAACAAUGCUUCUUUCUUCUUGAUCUCCUUAUGUUAUCAUCAUCAUCGUUAAAGUCAUCACAGAGCAUACGAGUCAUUCAUGAUUUGAAAUGCAAAAUAAUUACCGUAAAUAAUGAACCAUUUCCUUUUGGGAAAUUGCAUUCACAAAUGAAUGUGAUGGUUUAAUCUUUGCUGUAAUAAAGGCUUUACAAAACCCCAAAAAACUUUACUCUCUAGUACACUUCUAAUAUAUUUAGUGUUGUUUACAUGGUACCAAAAUGGUCCAACAGCACUCUAGUAUUUUACACAACUUAGUCACAUUUACUCCACACAUCAGACUUCCCUUUAACCUCCCUGCGCAACCAGUAAACAUUACCGUUUCAACUUUAUUGGUCAUGUCCUCUGCAUCCAUGUUGCGGUCACGUGUUCAGAGUUUGUUAUAUACCCUGAUGAAGAUAGCUUGGCUGUCGAAACGUUGGUAAUUACAUUUUUGCAUCUGAGCUCCUAGAGUGUGCGGCUCUCUUUUAUUUUCAGAGUUUGUUAUAACCAAUUUAUUGAUUUGAUUAUGAGAUGCUAUAGGCCGGGCCCUAUUGGUCACAUGGAUGCGAUGCAUACAAGUAAAGAGAACAGGCGUUGAGGGAAUAGGGAAUGUUUUUCCGAAACAAAUGUGGGAUUUCGGUAACAGGACUUUUCAGUCAGAAAUGGCUGUAGUUAUGUUGCAGCUUCAACAACACGGACAGCAUGAUAAACACUGUUGAAGUUCUGUGGUGGUCGCUGCAGCAGGGAGGAGAGGGAGACAACAGGUGCUAGUCAGUGUCACUUGACUUUUUUUAACACAGCAAGUAGGAGCCUGAACCUUUCCCUGUGUAGGGUGCAGUCUUUCGGAUGGGACGUUAAACGGGGGUCCUGACUCUGUGGUCAUUAAAGAUCCCAUGGCACUUAUUGUAAGAGUAGGGGUGUUAACUCCUGUGUCUUGGCUAAAUUCCCAAUCUGGCCCUCAUACCAUAAACGGUCACCUAAUCAUCCCCAGCUUACAAUUGGGUCAUUCAUCCCCCCUCCUCUCCCCUGUAACUAUUACAUAGGUCAUUGCUGUAAAUGUGAAUGUAUUCUCAGUCAACUUACAUGGUAAAAUAAGGGUUCAAAAAAUAAGACCAUAGAAUUGCUUAUUUUGGACAGAUUUUGGCUUUGUCUCCUCCCCUCUUGCUCAGCUGAUCAAACAUGGUCUGCCGCAGUAGCCAGCGCAUAUUAGCUACUGAGAGCGGAGUGAUUUUAAGAAUCAGGAACUAGUGUUGGGCGGAUGAGUAAAAUCUAAAUGUUUAAAGUUCCAUGUCCUACAAGACAGACCUGUUGAGGGACGAGCAUCACGUAGGAGUGAAGUCACCUAAGGUGAGAAGAUAAUGUCAGGAUCUUAUUAAUGAAGUUUCUCAGCCUUUAACACAGUGCAACCUCACCUGCUACUGAUAUGCCUUUGUGACCGACAAUUCCUUCAGAAGGUAUACAUACUCCUCGACUUAUUCCAGAUAUAGAACACUAUAAAAGGAAAACUCUAGGUCCACAACGAAAACACCCACCCACAGCACGCACCCUUCAACAUGCUGCCGCCCGGUCGGAGAUUAAAGGUGCCACAUGCAAAAAAAAAAAAAAAAGUUUACAAAACAAUCCUUCAUCCCCCCUGCAGUGACGAUCCUCUAUGGUGAACAGACAUGGAAAAGCUCAGUGUGGAAUGUGCAUUUUUAUGUGUUUUUAUCCUUAAGUUUUUAUGUAGAUUUUUUUUAUCCGUUCAAUGCCAAGAGCGCCAAAGCAAAUUUUCCAUUUUGUGCAAACCUAAUGGACAAUUACUUUUUCUAAUGCUAAUUCUCUUUCAGCCUUCGAAGCCUACCCAACUUCACUUCAUAAAUACUUAUCACGAUUCAAUCAGUGGAUCAAAGGAAGAGAAACUCAUACAUGUUAAUCCAAGAGCGAGAAAAAUGUGUCCGUUUUACACUUUACACAAAGUAGCUGAACAAUCUAACGAACCAUGAGUAGGGUCAAAAACCAUGAAAUCCUGAUACUUGAUUCGAAAUAGAGGAAGUUUGGGAAAACUCCAUGCUCAGGGGAAAGGGCCCGCCUCGGUGCUGGAAGACAGCAGUCCAGUCCUUUUGAGGUUGAAAGGAAUUUGACCAAGUCCCCCACCUCUAGAAUGUUACGGUAAAGCAAUCACCUUUAGUUAAAAAGGUCCAAUGUAGCCCUCUCAGUAUCAAAUCAUUUAAUUGUGCUGCGCCCAUCAUUGUUGGCUCAAUAACCCACAUUUUUUGUUUAACAUUGUUGUCAGGACAAAUUCCAAAAGUAUGGAAAUCAUCUCGUGCUGCCAACUCCAUAAGGGUGGGGAUAGUAGUGAUCAAAAAUAAUUAGUGCCCAAUUUCAACGCUUCUUUGUCUAGCUAAGAUUCUUGAAUCAUUGGUAAAUGUACAACUUUGCCCUUUUUUUAAUCUGAGAAAUGUAUUUAGAAUGUAAACCAAAUCAGGGUUUAGGCCUGGUCAUAGCACUAUUAGAGCAGCCACUUUGGUUGUCAAUGCUUUAGACUCUAAAAUUAAAUGUGCUGCUUUGUUUGUGGACCUGUCAAAAGCUUUUGAUACGGUUGAUCAUGCUAUGUUAUUGAAUAAGUUGUCCUCGAUAGGCCUGAGCUCUGACACCUGUUCAUGCUUUCAUGAACAUCUUAGUGACGGAACUAAGGCCAUGGUGAUUGAUGGGGUCAAGUCCGAAAUUCUUGAAAUACAUAAAGGUGUUCCACAGGGGACAAUACUAGAACCUGUUCUUCUCAAUAUUUACAUAAAUGCUAUUGGUCAAUCUGUUAAAUUGUAAAUGUCAUCUAUAUGUGGAUUAGAGCUGCCCCCACUUAUUCGACUGGUUGAUUGAUAGGCUGUUGGUAGACCGAGAUUUCUUCGGUCGAGCAAAAGAAAAAAGUGUGUAAGUGAACUACUCCAUUGUGGAGGCUGUGGGGAUGGCACAGUCCAUCACUCUAAGACAUGUGCUACUGAAAUUGUAUAUUGUUAUAUUUUGUAAGAACAAUGGCGCAACACCAAUAAAAAUAACAUUGUUUGAUAACAAAUUCACUUUCUCCCGCGCCAGACAGCGGUCACUGUCCAGGGUUCUGGAACAUUGCGCUGUUGAAUUGGCACCUUUUCCUAGACCAUGUUGCUAUAUGAAUAAGAGCAAAGUUAACCAGCAUAUUGGUGUGGCGAACAAUGCGGCAGAGUUAGGAGACGUGAAAACAGCCAUUGCCUUAAUUGUCUAAGAAAUGUGAGGAGAGAGGAAACAGCCCUCACCUUGUCUACAGAAAGUGAUGAGAGAGGAAACAGCCCUCACCUUAUUGUCUAAGGAAAGUGAGGAGAGAGGAAACAGCUCUCACCUUAUUGUCUAAGAAAAGUGAGUAGAGAGGAAACAGCCCUCACCUUAUUGUCUAAGAAAAGUGAGUAGAGAGGAAACAGCCCUCACCUUAUUGUCUAAGAAAAGUGAGUAGAGAGGAAACAGCCCUCACC